GACGAACCGUGCGAACGUUAUUCGGAUUCACUGGGCUUAAAGGGCGCGUAGACGGACGACCGCGUCGAUGGCUGAAAGCCCCCGGCUCAACCGGGGAAUGGGCCUCGAUACGGGUCGUCUCGAGUGGAGGAGGGGGACCUGGAACUUCCGGUGGAGCGGUGAAAUGCGUUGAGAUCGGAAGGAACGCCUGCGGCGAAAGCGAGGUCCUGGACUCUGACUGACGUUGAGGCGCGAAAGCCAGGGGAGCGAACGGG
rnacentral:rRNA from 1 species